GGUAUUUGCCCGUAGUUCGCGCUCACGGUGAAGACUACACGCUGCAAAGCGCGCUCCGCUCCUCUUCAGCAUCUUUUAAAGGCGGCUCCUACCGUACGUCACGGGGAAGUGGAGCGACUGCAGCUGGCGUUGGAGCGCGGACAUUCAGGUGAUCAGGUGACUGGGAGCGGUGAGGUUUGGCCGGCAGCGGGGACGGGGGGCAUCCUUCACCCUGAGCCCUGUGACGCCGACGGGUGUUGCUCUUGAAGCUGGCAGGAGGGUUCUCCUCCCUGUGCUGCCAUCUCUCCCACCCCCUGCUGGAGCCGAGGAGCACUCCAGAACAGAGAUCUCCCUUCUCUGAGGCGUGUCCAGUUCUUUUAGGCCACCCACGAGAAGCUCGUGAGCCUAAUUUUCAUUUAAUUUAGAUUUAUUUUAUUGCUAUAUCUUUUUGUUUUUAUAGCAUCUUAAAAAUUUGUUCUUGUGGCACUUUUCAUUUUGAAGAAUUCUAUAGUAGAACCCAACAAAGCCCCCAGAGGAAGCAUAAAAGGGCAGUGAAGAAGAGAAACUGCCUUUGAUAGAAGAACGGAACAAAGAGUGGGCUGACCAUCCUGAACGCAUGAAUUAAGCUCUGCAAUGACAGAAAUUAUAAUAACGGAUGGAUUACACAACUGGGUUAUGAAAUGUCGGCUGCUAAUAAGCAUGUUUUUCACCUGAUGGAGUGGUGUUACCUUUCAGAAAUGGUGUGAUUGAUGCAGAGUACGCAGAAUCUGUAACAUGUCAGAUGGACGUUUCAGAGGACAGACCACAAGAGACAAACAUUAGCAUUCAAUAUGAAAUAAAGCUUGAGGGGACCUUUGAAGAAUGUUAUGAUGGUGGAUAUCAGGCGUGACCUGCAUACUGUACUGUACGUCUGUGUCCUAGCGGUGAAAGACUUACAUUAGACAUUUGUCACAGCGGACUUGUUUUAUUUUAAACCAGUAAAAACACGUUACAUAUAUAACGUAGUAAAAAAACUGAGCCCUCAUUACUUUUAGUACUCAUGGCUAAUGCUGACAUUUCUUGCUUAUUAUUCCACUUGAUGGAAUUAUUAUGAAGAGUGACUUUUUGUCUCAGCAUUGAAAACAAUAUGCUGUAUAAUAGCUGUAUUUUCCUUAAUGCUCUAUAAUGGUGCCAUGAACAGUGUCAGUUCCUCUUCUCACUGUUGCUUGCAGGUUGGAUUCAUUGUUGCUGUGUCAGUUCCCUGAGUUUUCACUUCUACUAAUAGGUCUGAGCCAUUAUUCAUGAGAGACAAGCUCUGGGCUGGCUGUAUUUAUGCCAAUCCCUGGUAUUAUCAUGGGUCAGGGUGUCUAUUACCAAACAGCUACCCUGACAAAUGGACUGAAAAAGAUCUCCGGGGUUUUAUCAGCUGACAGCGUGAACCAACUUAAACAUGACAGAAAUAAAAAAGAAAUGAAGGGAAAACAUUGUAAUGCUCUCUGAAAACUGCCUUUGAUAAUGAAAUGAUCAUUUGCUUCUCCUUUGACAUUUCAUUUACAGUUAUUGGUUUUCUGGCAUCUAGGGAAUUGUUUUAAAUCAGCCUCUUAAAGACGAAUUACUAUAUGAGACAGGGAAGCAAUGUUAAAACCUCCUGAUGUGGAAAAAAUAGCCUUCCUGUAAAUGUUCUCCUAAAAAUAACCAAAGCAUUUUCUGUGAUUAUUCCACAUCUGAAGUACACUUUCCUUUUAUUACAGCAGAUUGAAUUCUGUGACACUGUCUUGAAAUAAAACAGUCAACUGGCGGGUUGUUUUUAAUCAUGGCCUGUGACUUUUUUCUACCAUCUCAGUGACUCAAAGCAGAUCCAUAAGCUGUGCCACUACAGACAUCAACAACUGAAUUAU